GGCAUACACCCCUUUGAUACUCAGGGUGGCCAUUACAUUUGCUUUUGGUUAUUUCUUUAUUUGCUAUUUAUAAUAAAGGUGUUUUGCAUCUACGUUCUGUCUCUGUCUGGUUCCUGGUCCCUAAAAGCAUGACAAUCAAAUAAAGUAACUAUUUAUAUUUAUUCAUGUGACCUGGCACACAGUGAUGACCUCAGAGACCACAAGGGAGGGAAAAAACUGCUCCCACGUGUUGUGGUUAACACAAAUUGGAGGUUAGCCAAUCAGACAAACCCUGUGUGUAUAUAAGCUAACCUCUCCCUUGCUCAGUGCCCUGUUU